rnacentral:rRNA from 1 species
CAAUAGCGUAUAUUAAAGUUGUUGCAGUUAAAAAGCUCGUAGUUGGAUUUCUGGAUGGAGCGACCGGUCGGGCAUUAAUUUGUCUGCACUGGAGUCGGUUCCGUCCAUCCUCUUGGAAAGUGCGUCGGGCAUUAAGUUGUUUGGCGUAUGAUCCAAGUCGUUUACUGUGAAAAAAUUAGAGUGUUUAAAGCAGGCCUUCGCCUUGAAUAUAUUAGCAUGGAAUAAUAAGAUAGGACUUUGGUCUAUUUUGUUGGUUUGCAGACCGAAGUAAUGAUUAAUAGGGAUAGUUGGGGGUAUUUAUAUUCCGAUGUCAGAGGUGAAAUUCUUAGAUUUUCGGAAGAUAAACUUAUGCGAAAGCAUUUACCAAGGAUGUUUUCAUUAA